GGAGAGGGAGCCUGAGAAACGGC
rnacentral:ncRNA from 5 species